GAUGAACGCUGGCGGCGUGCCUAAUACAUGCCAGUCGAGCGAACAGACGAGGAGCUUGCUCCUCUGACGUUAGCGGCGGACGGGUGAGUAACACGUGGAUAACCUACCUAUAAGACUGGGAUAACUUCGGGAAACCGGAGCUAAUACCGGAUAAUAUAUUGAACCGCAUGGUUCAAUAGUGAAAGACGGUUUUGCUGUCACUUAUAGAUGGAUCCGCGCCGCAUUAGCUAGUUGGUAAGGUAACGGCUUACCAAGGCGACCAUGCGUAGCCGACGUGAGAGGGCGAUCGGCCACACUGGAACUGAGACGCGGUCCAGACUCCUACGGGAGGCAGCAGUAGGGAAUCUUCCGCAAUGGGCGAAAGCCUGACGGAGCAACGCCGAGUGAGUGAUGAAGGUCUUCGGAUCGGAAAACUCUGUUAUUAGGGAAGAACAAAUGUGUAAGUAACUAUGCACGUCUUGACGGUACCUAAUCAGAAAGCCACGGCUAACUACGUG
rnacentral:rRNA from 1 species